GGUGGCUCAGACGGUAAAGAAUCUGCCUGCAAUGCGGGAGACCUGUGUUUGAUCCCUGGGUUCAGUCUCCUGGAGGAGGGCAUGAUAACCCACUCUAAUAUUCUUGCCUGGGGAAUCCCCAUGGACAGAGGAGCCUGGCCAGCUACAGUCCAUGGGGUUGCAAAGAGUUGGACAGGACUGAUCGACUAAGCACAGCACAUGUUUUCUAACACAGGAUGGAAGAGAGUGACCUCUCUGUCAGAUACACUCGGGCCAGCUGUGCUCCCCUUGGAAGGUCACCCAUCAUUUCAGGAAAAGACAGUCUGGAGCUGGAGAAGAGGGAAGGUGGUGCCAUGACAAGCCCUUGGAAGAAUUAUUUUAGGACAGGUAGGUUCUUGCUCUCUGGCAAGCCAAGUCUUUUCUCUGCUCAGGAAGCCAAGUCUUC
ensembl:lncRNA